rnacentral:rRNA from 1 species
UACGGAGGGUGCAAGCGUUAUCCGGAUUUACUGGGUUUAAAGGGUGCGCAGGCGGAUAUGUAAGUCAGUGGUGAAAUCUCUAGGCUUAACCUGGAAAUUGCCGUUGAUACUAUAUAUCUUGAAUGCUGUGGAGGUAAGCGGAAUAUGUCAUGUAGCGGUGAAAUGCUUAGAUAUGACAUAGAACACCGAUAGCGAAGGCAGCUUACUACAGGAUGAUUGACGCUGAGGCACGAAAGCGUGGGGAGCAAACAGG